rnacentral:rRNA from 1 species
AACGAACGCUGGCGGCAUGCCUAACACAUGCAAGUCGAACGAGACCUUCGGGUCUAGUGGCGCACGGGUGCGUAACGCGUGGGAACCUGCCCUUAGGUUCGGAAUAACUCCCCGAAAGGGGUGCUAAUACCGGAUAAUGUCUUCGGACCAAAGAUUUAUCGCCCUGGGAUGGGCCCGCGUUGGAUUAGCUAGUUGGUAGGGUAAAAGCCUACCAAGGCGACGAUCCAUAGCUGGUCUGAGAGGAUGAUCAGCCACACUGGGACUGAGACACGGCCCAGACUCCUACGGGAGGCAGCAGUGGGGAAUAUUGGACAAUGGGCGAAAGCCUGAUCCAGCAAUGCCGCGUGAGUGAUGAAGGCCGUAGGGUUGUAAAGCUCUUUUACCCGGGAUGAUAAUGACAGUACCGGGAGAAUAAGCUCCGGCUAACUCCGUG